AUACUAAUUUCAAAACUCGAAAAAGCGACGAACGGGCCUACAAAAACCCAACUAUAUACACUUAUAGGCGGUCACCUGGGGCUGUGUGCGUGUGCGCUUCGGCGUUAUGUACGUACAUACAUCUAUAUAUUCGUAUUCGGAAGAGUUCUGGUCAUCGAGUGUCUACUGUAAAACCGAUACGAUGUGGUAAACAAUAUUUCUGCUUAACCCUGUGGGUAUGUUUUUGGGAAUCCUUGAUACAGGUGAGAAACUACCCCUUUUCGGAAAACAAUACCCAUGUACAACAGUAUAUUGGUGACCUGCUGAAUACUUGUUAAAAAAUAGAUUUCCAUUUAGAGCUUCACUUCCUUUAAGUUUUCGGGCGGCAGAUGCUCAGAAACUAGAUUUACAAGUAUUGAGCGGAAAGAGCGUGCUGCGGGGAACUUGGAGGUUUUCGAACUCGAAGCCAGAACAGGAAAAACUCUAGCUCUUCUCCAUGGAUGAGAAUGGAUACGCGGCAGAGGCGCUGGGAAAACGCGGAAAACAUUCUUAUUUAGCAUCUGCACAAAUUACGCAUCGCACGAGUUCGAAGGGAAAUUCCGCACGAUUUAUCUGCAUUAUAUAGCAAAUAAAUGAAUGGAAAGCCAAUACAACGCUUUCAAGCAAUGAAAUGUAGAACACAAACACAAGCCUUAUGUCUUUAUCGUAUCGAACUUUGAAUAAAUAGUUCUGAUUAAUUGAAAGGAACAAAGUCUUAAAACACA